rnacentral:rRNA from 1 species
UACGUAGGCAGCAAGCGUUGUUCGGAAUUACUGGGCGUAAAGAGUGUGUAGGCGGUGCUCUAAGUUCGGUGUGAAAUCUCCCGGCUUAACUGGGAGGGUGCGCCGGAAACUGGAGUGCUUGAGCGCGGGAGAGGAAAGCGGAAUUCCUGGUGUAGCGGUGAAAUGCGCAGAUAUCAGGAGGAACACCGAUGGCGAAGGCAGGUCUCUGGGCCACUACUGACGCUGAGAAGCGAAAGCAUGGGGAGCGAACAGG